UACAGGGGGGGCAAGCGUUGUUCGGAAUUACUGGGCGUAAAGGGUCUGUAGGUGGCCAACUAAGUCAGACGUGAAAUCCCUCAGCUUAACUGGGGAACUGCGUCUGAUACUGGAUGGCUUGAGUGUGGGAGAGGAAUGCGGAAUUCCAGGUGUAGCGGUGAAAUGCGUAGAUAUCAGGAGGAACACCUAUGGCGAAGGCAGCUCGCUGGGACGGUACUGACGCUGAGGCGCGAAAGCGUGGGGAGCGAACAGG
rnacentral:rRNA from 1 species